CCGGCGUGGCGAGCGGAGCAUGCGUAAGGCAGCCUCCUUUCUGGCCACGUCUGCCGGGUUGUGUUGUGUAGCUGCAGCGCAGCAGUAGCAGCUGCUCUGGGUUAAACUCAGCCUAGGAUCGGGGAUGCGGGAGAAUCCUCUGGGCUGCCGUGCGCGCCCCUGGACGGGGUUGCAUUGGCUGCAGCUGGUGGUGCUUGGUUUGCUCGUACUUCGUACCUUCGCCUGGGAGAGCGGCGACUUGGAGCUCUUCGACCUCGUGGAGGAAGUCCCGCAAAACUUCUAUGCUUUCCUCGGCGUUGAGCAGGAUGCUCCAUCGGCAGAUAUUAGGAAAGCUUAUCGCAAGCUUUCACUGAUAUUACAUCCAGACAAGAAUAAAGAUGAAAAUGCUGAAACCCAAUUCAGACAAUUGGUGGCCAUAUACGAGGUUUUAAAGGAUGAAGAGAGAAGGCAUAGGUAUGAUGAUAUUCUGAUCAAUGGGCUACCAGAUUGGCGACAGCCUGUAUUUUAUUACAGGCGAGUGAGGAAAAUGAGCAAUGAAGAGUUGGCAUUACUUCUGUUCAUUAUCCUCACAGUAGGACAUUAUGCCGUGGUUUGGUCUAUCUACCUGGAAAAACAACUGGAUGAGCUGCUUUGUAGAAAAAAGAAGGAGAAGAAGAAAAGAUCUGGAGGGAAGAAUAGUGAUGAAGUGAAAUUUGGUGUAGAGAAGAGUGAAAGACUGGUGGAAAAACCACAGUGGCGGGACCUACUUCCAUGUAAAGUGGGAAUAUGGUGCUACACAAUGGUAAAAGCAUUGCCUCAAUUAUUUCAGGAGGCCAGGCAACUCUACGUAGAAUAUAAAGAAACAAAAAUAAAAGAGAAAGAAGAGGCUUUGGCAAGAGCUGAACUGGAAACACUUCAGAAGGAAAAAAAACCUAAAAUCAAGAAACCAAAAACUGAAUUUCCUGUAUAUACUGUGGUUGAAACAAAUGCAUAUAUACCAUCAUAUGAUCAUGGGACUUCUAUUGAAGAAAUUGAGGACCAGAUGGAUGAUUGGUUGGAAGACAGGAACAAAUCUCUUAAAAAAAAGGACCCUGAAUGGAUAGAAGAGGAUCUUAGCCAACUGACAAGAAGUAUGGUUAAGUUCCCAGGGGGGACGCCUGGUCGAUGGGAAAAGAUUGCUCACGAAUUGGGUCGAUCCGUGGCAGAUGUUACAAUGAAGGCCAAGCAGAUUAAAGAUUCAGUUUCAAGUGCUCCAGGUACUAUUAAAUUCUCAGAGUUGAAAACUUUGGCUCAAAGCUCAAGAUCCAGCAAGGUCAGUAUUAACUUACCUGAUCUUAUAAUCACUCAACGGGAUAAAGAAGAAGAUGACCAGGAGGAAAAGUCAAAGUACAAUUUCGAUCCAGAAACAAUAAAUAAGAUCACAACAGAUGAACAAGAGACUGGGUUAAAUGAAGCCCGACAUCGCAAGCGGAAAACAAUACCAAAGGCUGCUGAAACAAUAUUCCCAGGGACAAAAGAGACAACAGAGGACAAGUAUAGAGGGAAGCGCCAGAAGGACUUUGACACUGCAGAACAAGAGGAAUAUAGUGAUGAUGAGGUCAGGAAAAAAGAGAGAUGUCGUAGUUCAGAUGACUUAUGGACUCAGAAUCAACAGAAGCUUCUAGAGCUGGCUUUGCAACAGUAUCCAAAGGGAAUGCUGGAACGUUGGGAUAAAAUUGCCAAGUGUGUUCCAGGAAAAAGCAAGAGGCAGUCCUGUCUGUCAUGAAGUCUUCCGCCGAAAGCUGGGAGUGGCCAGCUACAGGGGUGGAGCUAAGAUAAUCAGCUUUGACAGACUCUGUCCAAUCAGCUAGGACACUGCGUAACCCAUUCCUGGCCUAUCUAGCCUACAAGGAGAAGAGGCAUUCAAGAAGAAUGUAUGACUAGAUACAAACUGUUGGUUGAACUUAUACAAAAGAAAAAAAUGGCCAAAAGUUGAACAUUUUGAAGAUUAUUCAUCAAAAUGAGAAACAUUAAACAUCAUAUGCAGUGACUUGUAUUUU